rnacentral:rRNA from 1 species
UACGUAGGGUCCGAGCGUUGCCCGGAAUUAUUGGGCGUAAAGGGCUCGUAGGCGGUUUGUCGCGUCGGGAGUGAAAACACCGGGCUUAACUCGGUGCUUGCUUUCGAUACGGGCAGACUGGAGGUAUGCAGGGGAGAACGGAAUUCCUGGUGUAGCGGUGAAAUGCGCAGAUAUCAGGAGGAACACCGGUGGCGAAGGCGGUUCUCUGGGCAUUACCUGACGCUGAGGAGCGAAAGUGUGGGGAGCGAACAGG